rnacentral:rRNA from 1 species
AACGCUGGCGGCGUGCCUAACACAUGCAAGUCGUACGCGAAAGGGGAGCAAUCCCUGAGUAGAGUGGCAAACGGGUGAGUAACACGUGGGUGACCUGCCUCAGAGUGGGGGAUAACGUCCCGAAAGGGACGCUAAUACCGCAUAACAUCCUGCCUUUGGAAAGGCGGAGAUCAAAGCCGGGGAUCGCAAGACCUGGCGCUUGGAGAGGGGCCCGCGUCUGAUUAGCUAGUUGGUAGGGUAAUGGCCUACCAAGGCGACGAUCAGUAUCCGGCCUGAGAGGGCGGACGGACACACUGGGACUGAGACACGGCCCAGACUCCUACGGGAGGCAGCAGUGGGGAAUUGUUCGCAAUGGGCGCAAGCCUGACGACGCAACGCCGCGUGGAGGAUGAAGAUCUUCGGGUCGUAAACUCCUGUCGAGCGGGAAGAACACUUUCCGGGUGAACAAUCCGGAAGGCUGACGGUACCGCUAAAGGAAGCCCCGGCUAACUCCGUGCCAGCAGCCGCGGUAAUACGGGGGGGGCAAGCGUUGUUCGGAAUUACUGGGCGUAAAGGGCUCGUAGGCGGCCAACUAAGUCGGACGUGAAAUCCCCAGGCUCAACCUGGGAACUGCGUCCGAUACUGGAUGGCUUGAAUCCGGGAGAGGGAUGCAGAAUUCCAGGUGUAGCGGUGAAAUGCGUAGAUAUCUGGAGGAAUACCGGUGGCGAAGGCGGCAUCCUGGACCGGCAUUGACGCUGAGGAGCGAAAGCCAGGGGAGCAAACG